rnacentral:lncRNA from 1 species
GCUGAUGUGUCCAUGAUUUAUCCUAGAAAUUAACAAAGAUGAUUUUUGUAUAUUCUUAAAGAGUUAAGAAUUUAAGACAUACAUUAAUUAGUGGUUAAUUUCUAAAUGCUCCCGAUUAAAGAAUCAUCACGGAGGACAAUGAUCAAUCCAUUUGAGAUCGGUGCACGGUUCAUCUCCCUUGUGGGUAGAUGAGUCUUGGGUCUGUAG